GGGGAUGUAGCUCAGAUGGUAGAGUGAGUGCUUGCUUAGCAUGCAAGAGGUAUGGGGAUCAAUACCCCGCAUCUCCA
rnacentral:tRNA from 1 species